UGCCAGCAGCCGCGGUAACACGGAGGGAGCAAACGUUGUUCGGAAUCACUGGGCGUAAAGGGCGCGUAGGCGGCUUCUUAAGUCGGGGGUGAAAUCCCGGGGCUCAACCCCGGAACUGCCUCUAAUACUGCUAGUCUUGAGUUCGAGAGAGGUGAGUGGAAUUCCGAGUGUAGAGGUGAAAUUCGUAGAUAUUCGGAGGAACACCAGUGGCGAAGGCAGCUCACUGGCUCGAUACUGACGCUGAGGUGCGAAAGCGUGGGGAGCAAACAGGAUUAGAUA
rnacentral:rRNA from 1 species